UAACCUAAUUAAUAUUAACAUUAUUAAUUCAAAUUUCUAAGAUAAUUGAAAACAUUAAAAAAAUUAGUAACGGGGAUUAAAAGUUGUGUAGUAAUUAAAGAGUAUUGCGAAAGAAAAAUAGAAAAUUGAAAAAAAGAAGAAAUUAAAUUUUGUACCUUUUGUAUCAUGGUUUAACUAGAUUAUUUUUUAUAUAAAAUUUCUCGAAACCUAAUGAGCUAUUCUUGAUAACUUUUUAGAGAAAAAAGAGUAGUUGUAGCAAAAACUUUCUGAUAAUUAAGAAUAGAAAUGAAAUUUUAUUCGUAUUAGGUGAUAGCUAGUUUACUACUAAAGACAUAGAAGUGUUUUAAAUUAAAUUUUUAGGUUAUUUUUAAAAUUGAAUAAAAUAUAAUUUACUUAAAUCUUUGAGGAUAAGCUCGAUGAUAAAUUAGUUUUUAGCAUACUUAUUUAGAUAUUAAAUUUUAGCUUGAAAAUAGCUCUUAUUAGGAUUUUGUUAUAAUUACAUUAAUUUCUAAUUGAAUAUAAUCACUUUGCUAAAUAUAAAAUAGUAGUAUAACUCUAUAUACCACUAAAGAUUAAAUUUAUGUUAAAAUGAGUAUCUGUAAAUUAUUGAAACAAAAAAUUCAUGAACAUAAAACUGAAAUAAGUUUAUAUUAAUAAAUCCAAAAGAACGGAACUCGGCAAAAUAAUAUUCUGCCUGUUUAGCAAAAACAUGGCUCUCUGUAAAAAAUAAAUAGAGAGUCGGNCCUGCCCGGUGAUGAUUUUUAACGGCCGCGGUACCCUGACCGUGCAAAGGUAGCAUAAUCAUUUGCCUUGUAAUUUAAGGCUAGUAUGAAGGGUUUGACAAGAGUAUAACUGUCUCCUUUUGGUUUGAUAAAACUUUACUUAUAAGUGAAGAGACUUAUAUAUAAUUAAUAGACAAGAAGACCCUAUCGAGCUUGAAAUCAGUUGGUAGAAAUAAAUAGAAAUAAAUAUAUAAAAUCAAAUUAUUAAAAAUUUUGGUUGGGGCGACUAAGGAACAAGCAAAGCUUCCUAUUUUAUCUGAACUUUCAAGUAAUGAUCCAGAAAAAUUCUGAUUAAAGAAAAUAGUUACCGUAGGGAUAACAGCAUUAUCUUUUUUGAGAGUUCUUAUCGAAAAAAAGGUUUGUGACCUCGAUGUUGGACCAGAAUACCCCAAAGAUGCAGAAGUCUUUAAAGGUUGGUCUGUUCGACCAUUAAAAUUCUACGUGAUCUGA
rnacentral:rRNA from 1 species